UCUCCGUUGGUGAACCAGCGGAGGGAUCAUUACCGAGUUAUACAACUCAUCAACCCUGUGAACAUACCUAAAACGUUGCUUCGGCGGGAACAGACGGCCCUGUAACAACGGGCCGCCCCCGCCAGAGGACCCCUAACUCUGUUUUUGUAAUUGCAAUCAGCGUCUGAAAAUAAUCUAAUUAUUUACAACUUUCAACAACGGAUCUCUUGGUUCUG
rnacentral:misc_RNA from 1 species